UCCUUUGGCCCAAUAAUUCCAAGGAUAUUCAACGAUUCAAAAUGGGAAGCAGAUUCUCGCGUAAUCGCACUCCAGUGGUGGCAAGCAAACCACUCGAUGGUUUUACCACUGCUCUCGCGUGUCACGGGUAAUUUCCCAUCAGACGUUGCAUUGUUCACGCGAUCGCAAUCUCGACUUGAAGAAGCGUCUGCCCCGGAACGCGAUAGUUCGUUCUUGCUGCCCCGGUCUGUCACUCGUUGCGGAGACAGCGCUUCGGAUGACUUCUUCUUUCCUUGUCACGAAACAGAAAGAAGAAUUUCAUGAGGUCUCGCGUUCGGACGUGUGACCACGCGACAACGUGGAUCGAUCCAGCUGAAAAUAGCAGAUACCUGCAGGAAGUUCCUCUCAGAAGCUACAUCCUCAAUUCGUCACAAUGAAAUCUCAAUGAAAUCUCCGAGUAUCUUUGGUCUCGAUCAACGUGACGAACAACAACAGGUCCACCGAUUAGCCAGUUAUUCAAGAAACUACGAAAGUAAGUUAGCUGUUCGCGAGAUGAUCUACGACCUCGGUUCGCGACAAGCCAUAGACAUCAACAACGAGCAUCGGAGCCUGCCAAAAGGUUCCCGAUCGCAGCGAUUCACAGUUGAUCGAGGUCGGUCUCGAGGGUGUCGCGAUCGCCGGAGCGAUCGUGGUUACCCCGUGAUCACAGGAAACUCUCGUUC